rnacentral:rRNA from 1 species
UACGUAGGGGGCUAGCGUUGUCCGGAAUUAUUGGGCGUAAAGAGCUCGUAGGCGGUGUGUCGCGUCGGCCGUGAAAACCUGCAGCUUAACUGUGGGCUUGCGGUCGAUACGGGCAUCACUGGAGUUCGGCAGGGGAGACUGGAAUUCCUGGUGUAGCGGUGAAAUGCGCAGAUAUCAGGUGGAACACCGGUGGCGAAGGCGGGUCUCUGGGCCGAUACUGACGCUGAGGAGCGAAAGCGUGGGGAGCGAACAGG